ACGGUGUUUAACAUGGAACUAAUAUUUGUAUAGGUUGUAUUCUGUGACGGACAGAAGACCGCGUUGCACUUCUCACCGAAAAGGCAGUCAGUUAGGUUUCACGUAACGUUUUAAUUUAGCAGUGUGUUUGGGGAAAUUAGCAAUUAAACAUGUAACUUGGUAGAACAAUGUGCUAAGAUCGCCAUGUCACUGUAGAUGGAAUUCCGUGUCCACAGACGCUUAUGAAGAGACGGUAUUAAGAGAAUUAAUACAUUUACUCAACACCUUCCUCAGACAGAAGGUGCGUUUGUUUUAUGGAAUUUACUCGAACGCAUUCCCAAUGAAAUGUUGUAAUUAUUUCUUGUGUGGAAGAGGAUAAAUUAAAACAUUUAUGGAGGUCAUUUUUAGCCACUGCAAAUAA